rnacentral:lncRNA from 1 species
UUUGCAAAAGUCAACUAUUUGAACAGCAUAAAAAGAUACUUGAACAGCAUAAAAAGAAUAUUUUCAGAUGGAUACAAAGGAGGAAGGCAGUUUUUAGGGAGUACUGAGCUGUCUCCGAAGAAUUCAGAUUAUUGAAUGUAGGCACCCUUUUCUGAUUUCCUUCAUCAAUUCAAUUCAGGAGAUGUGAUGCAAUGUGAUGUGUCAAUGUAUGUAUGAUCGAAGUGUCAGUCUCUAUAAGUACUCCGCUCCAUGAUCCUGGGGUGAAGUGCUACAAAACACAUUUUUGGUGGAGCAGAAAUAGUGCUGCCUUUCCUGUGCUUCCCACGGCUGUUGUAGAUAGAAAGCAAUGAAUUCAGAAUUCUCAAGUCGGCCAGGCCAUCUUCUCAGUGAGCUUUGCCUCAGGCACCCUAGAUAUUACCACAUGAGAGCUAUAUUUCAUCUGUUCUUAAAUUUUUGCAGCUAAAGGACCACAUUUGAGGGUCGAAAUCCCUGCCACAAAACCAACCUUACCACCUUCUACUACUCAUAAGAAAAAUCCAUCAGAAUUUACUGGAAUUUAUUGCAAG